rnacentral:rRNA from 1 species
ACGCUGGCGGCAGGCCUGACACAUGCAAGUCGAGCGGUAGAGAGAAGCUUGCUUCUCUUGAGAGCGGCGGACGGGUGAGUAAUGCCUAGGAAUCUGCCUGGUAGUGGGGGAUAACGUUCGGAAACGGACGCUAAUACCGCAUACGUCCUACGGGAGAAAGCAGGGGACCUUCGGGCCUUGCGCUAUCAGAUGAGCCUAGGUCGGAUUAGCUAGUUGGUGAGGUAAUGGCUCACCAAGGCGACGAUCCGUAACUGGUCUGAGAGGAUGAUCAGUCACACUGGAACUGAGACACGGUCCAGACUCCUACGGGAGGCAGCAGUGGGGAAUAUUGGACAAUGGGCGAAAGCCUGAUCCAGCCAUGCCGCGUGUGUGAAGAAGGUCUUCGGAUUGUAAAGCACUUUAAGUUGGGAGGAAGGGUUGUAGAUUAAUACUCUGCAAUUUUGACGUUACCGACAGAAUAAGCACCGGCUAACUCUGUGCCAGCAGCCGCGGUAAUACAGAGGGUGCAAGCGUUAAUCGGAAUUACUGGGCGUAAAGCGCGCGUAGGUGGUUUGUUAAGUUGGAUGUGAAAUCCCCGGGCUCAACCUGGGAACUGCAUUCAAAACUGACUGACUAGAGUAUGGUAGAGGGUGGUGGAAUUUCCUGUGUAGCGGUGAAAUGCGUAGAUAUAGGAAGGAACACCAGUGGCGAAGGCGACCACCUGGACUAAUACUGACACUGAGGUGCGAAAGCGUGGGGAGCAAAC